rnacentral:SRP_RNA from 1 species
GCUGGGCACGGUGGCACGUGCCCAUGGUCCCAGCUACUCAGGAAGCUGAGGCUGGAGGAUCGCCUGAGUCCAGAAGAUCUGGGCUGUAGGGCACUAUGCCAAUCAGGUCUCCGCAGUAAGUUCGGCAUCAAUAUGAUGACCUCCCGGGAGCGGGGGACCACCAGGUUGCCUAAUGAGAGGUGAACCAGCCCAGGUCAGAUAUGGAGCAGGUCAAAACUCUCGUGCUGAUCAGUAGUGGGAUCACAGCUGUGAAUAGCCACUGCACUCCAGCCUGGGCAACAUAGUAAGAUCCCAUCUCU